rnacentral:sRNA from 1 species
GCAUUCAGACGACGAUCAUCGCUCCACAGUGGGCAACUACGUUUAAAGAAAAUCCUUCUUCUUUAAAGAACAUUCGACUACAACGAUAGCAUUUUCGUACCAAAGCUUGAGUCAUCUUCUCUUCCAAAUAUAAACGUGCAGAUUCUGACUUCUUUUCGUUGCAUUUCAAUGGUAUGUGAUUAAGUUCCUUACAUAAUCUAAUAUCAAAACAAUUUAUUAAUGUAAUAAUUUUAGUAAUGUACAAUCACGCAUUUAUUUCUAAAUAUUUUGUAAAUAUUUCUAAAUAUAUAAUAUUUUGUUUAAAAAGAUCAAUACUUUAAAAUGCAAUAUAUAUCUCUCAUGUAAUAUUUCUUCACAAAUUCAUGUUAAAACAAAGACAAUAAACAAAAUAUAAAAAGUA